GCGCUGCUUACACAUGCAGUCGAACGAUGAAAGCAGGAGCUUGCUUUUGCUGGAUUAGUGGCGAACGGGUGAGUAGCACGUGAGUAACCUGCCCUUGACUCUGGGAUAAGCGUUGGAAACGACGUCUAAUACCGGAUACGAGCUAGGACCGCAUGGUCACUAGUUGGAAAGAAUUUCGGUCAAGGAUGGACUCGCGGCCUAUCAGCUAGUUGGUGAGGUAAUGGCUCACCAAGGCGACGACGGGUAGCCGGCCUGAGAGGGUGACCGGCCACACUGGGACUGAGACACGGCCCAGACUCCUACGGGAGGCAGCAGUGGGGAAUAUUGCACAAUGGGCGCAAGCCUGAUGCAGCAACGCCGCGUGAGGGAUGACGGCCUUCGGGUUGUAAACCUCUUUUAGCAGGGAAGAAGCGAAAGUGACGGUACCUGCAGAAAAAGCACCGGCUAACUACGUGCCAGCAGCCGCGGUAAUACGUAGGGUGCAAGCGUUGUCCGGAAUUAUUGGGCGUAAAGAGCUCGUAGGCGGUUUGUCACGUCUGCUGUGAAAAUCCAAGGCUCAACCUUGGACUUGCAGUGGGUACGGGCAGGCUAGAGUGCGGUAGGGGAGAUGGGAAUUCCUGGUGUAGCGGUGGAAUGCGCAGAUAUCAGGAGGAACACCAAUGGCGAAGGCACAUCUCUGGGCCGUAACUGACGCUGAGGAGCGAAAGCGUGGGGAGCGAACAGGAUUAGAUACCCUGGUAGUCCACGCCGUAAACGGUGGGUGCUAGCUGUGGGCCACAUUCC
rnacentral:rRNA from 1 species